UACGGGGGGGGCAAGCGUUGUUCGGAAUUACUGGGCGUAAAGGGCGCGUAGGCGGUGUGUCAAGUCAGGCGUGAAAGCCCCGGGCUCAACCUGGGAACCGCGCUUGAGACUGGCACGCUCGAGUUCGGGAGAGGAUGGUGGAAUUCCUGGUGUAGCGGUGAAAUGCGCAGAUAUCAGGAGGAACACCAAUGGCGAAGGCAGUUCGCUGGGACGGUACUGACGCUGAGGCGCGAAAGCGUGGGGAGCAAACAGG
rnacentral:rRNA from 1 species